CUCUGUGACUCCUACGGGAGGCAGCAGUGGGGAAUAUUGCACAAUGGGGCGCAAGCCUGAUGCAGCCAUGCCGCGUGUGUGAAGAAGGCCUUCGGGUUGUAAAGCACUUUCAGUUGUGAGGAAGGUGGUGUCGUUAAUAGCGGCAUCAUUUGACGUUAGCAACAGAAGAAGCACCGGCUAACUCCGUGCCAGCAGCCGCGGUAAUACGGAGGGUGCGAGCGUUAAUCGGAAUUACUGGGCGUAAAGCGCAUGCAGGUGGUUUGUUAAGUCAGAUGUGAAAGCCCGGGGCUCAACCUCGGAACUGCAUUUGAAACUGGCAGACUAGAGUACUGUAGAGGGGGUAGAAUUUCAGGUGUAGCGGUGAAAAUGCGUAGAGAUCUGAAGGAAUACCGGUGGCGAAGGCGGCCCCCUGGACAGAUACUGACACUCAGAUGCGAAAGCGUGGGGAGCAAACAGGAUUAGAUACCCUGGUAG
rnacentral:rRNA from 1 species